CGAGCUGAGUGGCCCUCAGCAAGGCGGGAGAUAUGACACCAGUCCUUCCUAGCCCACAGGGCUCCAACAAGCUAAAGGAAGUCUAGGUGUUUUGAAAGGCAUUGCAUUCACUGCUCCUGCGAGGGUAAAGAGGACGGCCUAACAUGGUGGAAAAGAGCACGGGAUCUGGAGCGGAACUGGGUUUGAAUACAGAAAAUGCCACCCACCAGCUGUGUCCAGGGGCAUGUCACUUUGCCUCUCUUUGCUUUGGUCUCCCCAUCAUAGUGCCCACCUCACAGGGUGGCAGCAAAACUGGAGGG